rnacentral:rRNA from 1 species
GACAGAGGGUGCAAACGUUGUUCGGAAUUACUGGGCGUAAAGCGCGUGUAGGCGGCCCUGCAAGUCGGAUGUGAAAUCCCACGGCUCAACCGUGGAAGUGCAUUCGAAACUGCAGGGUUAGAGUCCUGGAGAGGAAGGUGGAAUGCUUGGUGUAGAGGUGAAAUUCGUAGAUAUCAAGCGGAACACCGGUGGCGAAGGCGGCCUUCUGGACAGUGACUGACGCUGAGACGCGAAAGCGUGGGGAGCAAACAGGG